rnacentral:rRNA from 1 species
CAUGCAAGUCGAACGAGGAUAUAUCCUUCGGGGUAUAAGCCGAGUGGCGCAAGGGUGAGUAAUGCAUAGAUUACCUGCCUCUAGGAUAAGGACAACUUUGUGAAAACGAAGCUAAUACUUAAUAAUACAAAAGAAAAUAAUUUUCUUUUGUCAAUGGGAGGGUAGCAAUACCUUUUGCCUAGAGAGGGGUUUAUGUCCUAUCAGCUUGUUGGUGGGGUAAUGGCCUACCAAGGCGAAGACGGGUAGCCGGUCUUAGAGGAUGGUCGGCCACACUGGGACUGAGACACUGCCCAGACUUCUACGGAAGGCUGCAGUCGAGAAUCUUUCGCAAUGCCCGAAAGGGUGACGAAGCGACGCCGCGUGAGUGAGGAAGGCCUUAGGGUUGUAAAGCUCUGUCAGGAGUUAAGAAAUAUAAGUGUGUUAAUACCACAUUUAUUUGACGAAGGCUCCAAAGGAAGCCACGGCUAACUCUGUGCCAGCAGCCGCGGUAAUACAGAGGUGGCAAGCGUUGUUCGGAAUUAUUGGGCGUAAAGAGCACGUAGGUGGGUUUGUAAGUCAGAUGUGAAAGCCUUCUGUUCAACGGAAGAAUUGCAUCUGAAACUGCAAGUCUUGAGUGUAGGAGGGGAGAAUGGAACUUCUGGUGGAGCGGUGAAAUGCGUAGAUAUCAGAAGGAACGCCGGCGGCGAAAGCGAUUCUCUGGCCUAUUACUGACACUCAGUGUGCGAAAGCUAGGGGAGCAAACGGGAUUAGAUACCCCGGUAGUCCUAGCCGUAAACGAUGGGCACUAAGUAGAGGGGAUUACCGAUGUUCUCUCUGCCGUAGCUAACGCAUUAAGUGCCCCGCCUGGGGAGUACGGCCGCAAGGCUAAAACUCAAAAGAAUUGACGGGGGCUCGCACAAGCGGUGGAGCAUGUGGCUUAAUUCGAUGCAACGCGAAAAACCUUACCGGGGCUUGACAUGGUAGAAGUAGGAACCCGAAAGGGUAACGAACGGUAUCCAGUCCGUAGCUAUCACAGGUGUUGCAUGGCUGUCGUCAGCUCGUGUCGUGAGACGUUGGGUUAAGUCCCCUAACGAGCGAAACCCUUGUUUUUAGUUACCAGCGGGUUAUGCCGGGUACUCUAGAAAGACUGCCGUCGUCAAGACGGAGGAAGGUGGGGAUGACGUCAAGUCAUCAUGGCCCUUAUGCCCCGGGCUGCACACGUGCUACAAUGGUCGGUACAAACGGAAGCGAAGCCGAGAGGUGAAGCGAAUCCUAAAAAGCCGAUCUCAGUUCGGAUUGGAGGCUGAAAUUCGCCUCCAUGAAGUUGGAAUCGCUAGUAAUCGCGGAUCAGCAAUGCCGCGGUGAAUAUGUUCCCGAGCCUUGUACACACCGCCCGUCAAGCCACCCAAGCAGGAUGCACCCGAAAACAUUAUAUCUAACCAGGGCAACUUGGAGGAAAGUGUUGAAGGAGUGUUUUGUGAGGAGGACUAAGUCGUAACAAGGUAGUCGUAGGAGAACCUGCGGCUGGAUCACCUCCUUUCU